rnacentral:tRNA from 1 species
GAAAAGUUUCCAUAGGUAAGGUAAGGUAUUUGCUAAAUACUGUGUUUUUACACUUAGACGUUCGAUUCGUCUCUUUUCUGG